ACUAAGCGUACACGGUGGAUGCCUAGGCAAUCAGAGGCGAUGAAGGACGUGCUAAUCUGCGAUAAGCGUCGGUAAGGUGAUAUGAACCGUUACAACCGACGAUUUCCGAAUGGGGAAACCCAGUGCAAUUCGUUGCACUAUCGUUUGAUGAAUACAUAGUCAAACGAAGCGAACCGGGGGAACUGAAACAUCUCAGUACCCCGAGGAAAAGAAAUCAACCGAGAUUCCCCUAGUAGCGGCGAGCGAACGGGGAGCAGCCCAGAGUCUUAAUCAGCAUUAGCAUCAGGAGAACGGUCUGGAAAGUCCGGCAGUAAAGGGUGAUAGCCCCGUAUCCGAAGGUGUUAGUGUUGUGAACUCGACGAGUAGGGCGGGACACGUGUUAUCCUGUCUGAAUAUGGGGGGACCAUCCUCCAAGGCUAAAUACUCCUGAUUGACCGAUAGUGAACCAGUACCGUGAGGGAAAGGCGAAAAGAACCCCGGCGAGGGGAGUGAAAUAGAACCUGAAACCGUGUACGUACAAGCAGUGGGAGCCUUGAUUUAUCAGGGUGACUGCGUACCUUUUGUAUAAUGGGUCAGCGACUUAUAUUCUGUAGCAAGGUUAACCGUAUAGGGGAGCCGUAGGGAAACCGAGUCUUAACUGGGCGAAUAAGUUGCAGGGUAUAGACCCGAAACCCGGUGAUCUAGCCAUGGGCAGGUUGAAGGUUGGGUAACACUAACUGGAGGACCGAACCGACUAAUGUUGAAAAAUUAGCGGAUGACUUGUGGCUGGGGGUGAAAGGCCAAUCAAACCGGGAGAUAGCUGGUUCUCCCCGAAAGCUAUUUAGGUAGCGCCUCGUGAACUCAUCUUCGGGGGUAGAGCACUGUUUCGACUAGGGGGUCAUCCCGACUUACCAACUCGAUGCAAACUACGAAUACCGAAGAAUGUUAUCACGGGAGACACACGGCGGGUGCUAACGUUCGUCGUGAAGAGGGAAACAACCCAGACCGCCAGCUAAGGUCCCAAAGUCAUAGUUAAGUGGGAAACGAAGUGGGAAGGCUCAGACAGCCAGGAUGUUGGCUUAGAAGCAGCCAUCAUUUAAAGAAAGCGUAAUAGCUCACUGGUCGAGUCGGCCUGCGCGGAAGAUGUAACGGGGCUAAACUAU
rnacentral:rRNA from 1 species